rnacentral:rRNA from 1 species
AUCCGGGUUGCGGACAGUGUCUGGUGGGUAGUUUGACUGGGGCGGUCUCCUCCUAAAGAGUAACGGAGGAGCACGAAGGUUAGCUAAUCCUGGUCGGACAUCAGGAGGUUAGUGCAAAGGCAUAAGCUAGCUUGACUGCGAGAGUGACGGCUCGAGCAGGUGCGAAAGCAGGUCUUAGUGAUCCGGUGGUUCUGUAUGGAAGGGCCAUCGCUCAACGGAUAAAAGGUACUCCGGGGAUAACAGGCUGAUACCGCCCAAGAGUUCAUAUCGACGGCGGUGUUUGGCACCUCGAUGUCGGCUCAUCACAUCCUGGGGCUGAAGUAGGUCCCAAGGGUAUGGCUGUUCGCCAUUUAAAGUGGUACGCGAGCUGGGUUUAGAACGUCGUGAGACAGUUCGGUCCCUAUCUGCCGUGGGCGCUGGAGAAUUGAGGGGGGCUGCUCCUAGUACGAGAGGACCGGAGUGGACGCAUCACUGGUGUUCGGGUUGUCAUGCCAAUGGCAUUGCCCGGUAGCUAAAUGCGGAAAAGAUAAGUGCUGAAAGCAUCUAAGCACGAAACUUGCCCC